ensembl:lncRNA
AAGGUAAGUUUAAAACAAGUUAUAAAAAAAAGUAAUCUAAAAGUAAUCUAAAAGGUCUGAAUACAUUACCUAAGUAACCUAGAUUAUGUUACUAACUACAGUUUUCAUCAUGUAAUCAGUAAUGGAUUACAAUUUCUAAGUAAUCUACCCAGCUCUGUUCCUGUCUGUUUUAAUAAGAAUGACACUUCAUGACUUCCUUUUUCUCAGCAAUCUCAAGCAGCAGUCUCAUAGGGCACAUGUUCUGUCAGGCUCAUGAAAUGGAUUCAGUCUAUGCAAAUUCUAGUUUCAUACUUUCAACAAUUGCCUCAGGUGAAAAACCCUCUCAAUGCAACGUUAACUCCACUCAAAUGCAAGAACGAGAGAGAGAAGUCGCUUCCCCAAAGUGGAUUAAAGUUCUUCUGAUUGUUCUUGGUUUCUCUCUUGUUUUUGCUCUCGGAGGUCUCUGCGCACUGUGGAUGCUUUAUAAUAAUCGUGCAGAUCUUGAAUCACUGAAUAAACAGCACAUGUGUUCAAUGCAACUGUCAGCUCAAAAGAUCAACAGCACAAUCAUGAAGAAAGAGAUAAAUGACCUCACAGCUAGAUACAACACACUUAGAAACUGGCUGUCAUUUUACGAUGGUGAGUUUCAGUUUGCAUUCAAAGUGUGAUCAAAUAUUUUGCACAAGGAACCUGUUUGAUUAACCUAAUGAUCUAAAUAAUGGAAGGUUUAAUUACACUUUAUUCAUUUAUCACAGCUAAGUCUUGUAAUCUCUCUGUGGAUGGCUGGAUAGCUUGUCGUGGAAAGCUGUAUUUAUUCGUCUCAGAUAAACUGAACUGGUCAAGCAGUCGAGAUGUCUGUGUUUCAAAGGGAGCCGAUCUAGUCACCAUAACCAGCCGAUCAGAACAGGCAAGUCAGAUCAAUUAUAAUACUAGAAGUAAGUGUAAUGAAAACAAACUUGACUUACAGCUGGGGGGUAUUCCAGAAAGCAGGUUAUGUGACAUAUAUGGUUAUGUUUAAGGGUAAGUAAGCAGAUAAACUCAGCAUUCAGUUCCGAAACUGGAGGUAACUUCCAGGGUAUGUAAGUAGCCAUAGCAACUUAUUCUCUGAACAUAACAUGCUCCGGUAUAGGUUAUGUUUAAAGGUUAGUUUACUUCAGUUAAAUUUUAUCUAACAGUAAGGGGGUUGGGGGGAGAACAUUGCUCUUGAGAAAAUAAAAAUUCUCAAGAGCAAUUUUUGAAGGGGACC